rnacentral:tRNA from 1 species
GCCGCCAUGGUCAAGCGGUUAAGACGUCGCCCUCUCACGGCGAAAACCGGGGUUCGAGUCCCCGUGGCGGUACCA